GAACCGCUUUCGGGCGGGGAUUAGUGGCGAACGGGUGAGUAACACGUGGGCAAUCUGCCCUGCACUCUGGGACAAGCCCUGGAAACGGGGUCUAAUACCGGAUAUGACCGUCUGCCGCAUGGUGGAUGGUGUAAAGCUCCGGCGGUGCAGGAUGAGCCCGCGGCCUAUCAGCUUGUUGGUGAGGUAGUGGCUCACCAAGGCGACGACGGGUAGCCGGCCUGAGAGGGCGACCGGCCACACUGGGACUGAGACACGGCCCAGACUCCUACGGGAGGCAGCAGUGGGGAAUAUUGCACAAUGGGCGAAAGCCUGAUGCAGCGACGCCGCGUGAGGGAUGACGGCCUUCGGGUUGUAAACCUCUUUCAGCAGGGAAGAAGCGAAAGUGACGGUACCUGCAGAAGAAGCGCCGGCUAACUACGUGCCAGCAGCCGCGGUAAUACGUAGGGCGCAAGCGUUGUCCGGAAUUAUUGGGCGUAAAGAGCUCGUAGGCGGCUUGUCACGUCGGUUGUGAAAGCCCGGGGCUUAACCCCGGGUCUGCAGUCGAUACGGGCAGGCUAGAGUUCGGUAGGGGAGAUCGGAAUUCCUGGUGUAGCGGUGAAAUGCGCAGAUAUCAGGAGGAACACCGGUGGCGAAGGCGGAUCUCUGGGCCGAUACUGACGCUGAGGAGCGAAAGCGUGGGGAGCGAACAGGAUUAGAUACCCUGGUAGUCCACGCCGUAAACGGUGGG
rnacentral:rRNA from 1 species